AUGAACUAUAGUAUGCAAGGGAUGACGAAAACGAUUCCCGAGCUUUUCAUGUUGAUGAAAUCGAUAAAGGUAGAAAUCAAGAAAGAGAAUCAAGUGGUGAUGGUUGACAAGACCACUACUUUCAAGGAAAAGGGCAAAGGGAAAAAGAGGAACUUCAAGAAGAACGACAAGCAAGUUGCUGCUCAAGUGAAGAAGCCCAAGUCUAGACCUAAGCCUGAGACUAAGUGCUUCUACUGCAAAGGGACUGGUCACUGGAAGCGGAACUGCCCCAAGUAUUUGGUGGAUAAGAAGGAUGGCAAAGUGAACAAAGGUAUAUUUGAUAUACAUAUUAUUGAUGUGUAUUUUACUAGUGUUCGUAGCAACCCCUCGGUAUUUGAUGCUGGUUCAGUUGCUAAAUAG
rnacentral:rRNA from 1 species